rnacentral:misc_RNA from 1 species
UCCAACAAUUCCUCAAUUUCAACGUCGAGUUUCAAUGUCAUCAUUCUAUUCUUCGAGUCAACAGUCGAGUCAACAGUCCUCAGCAGCUAACUCUCCUCCAAGGGCACGGCCAAAACCAGCUCAAACUCCUCGAGCUGAUGGGAAGGAGUUCUUCCGUCAAGCCAGGAGUCGUCUGUCUUAUGAGCAGUUCAGUGCGUUUCUAGCAAACAUAAAGGAACUAAAUGCUCAAAAGCAAUCUCGUGAGGAAACUUUGAAAAAAGCAGAAGAGAUUUUUGGAACGGAUAACAAGGAUCUCUAUCUAUCAUUCCAAGGGAUGCUUAACCGUGGUGUUCGUUGACAGUACAAAAAGUCAUCUUGGGUGUAUAUUCCCAUCUUAUGGUAGCUUAAACAUUUAACAUAAGUCUUGCUUAGUGAUCUAAAGUUGACCAAAGGACUUGUGGAACUCUUGAUCUAUGUUCCAAUUUGAGGUGCAGUAUCGCUAAACAUCA